rnacentral:rRNA from 1 species
GACGAACGCUGGCGGCGUGCUUAACACAUGCAAGUCGAACGGAAAGGCCCUGCUUUUGUGGGGUGCUCGAGUGGCGAACGGGUGAGUAACACGUGAGUAACCUGCCCUUGACUUUGGGAUAACUUCAGGAAACUGGGGCUAAUACCGGAUAGGAGCUCCUGCUGCAUGGUGGGGGUUGGAAAGUUUCGGCGGUUGGGGAUGGACUCGCGGCUUAUCAGCUUGUUGGUGGGGUAGUGGCUUACCAAGGCGUUGACGGGUAGCCGGCCUGAGAGGGUGACCGGGCACAUUGGGACUGAGAUACGGGCCAGACGCAUACGGGAGGCAGCAGUGGGGAAUAUUGCACAAUGGGCGGAAGCCGGAUGCAGCAACGCCGCGUGCGGGAUGACGGCCUUCGGGUUGUAAACCGCUUUCGCCUGUGACGAAGCGUGAGUGACGGUAAUGGGUAAAGAAGCACCGGCUAACUACGUG